CCUGUGUUAGGUUCUUUGGAGUUCCUCCAGUCCCAGUUGCAGUGGUGAGGAAUUAAUCCUCAGGGAAGGGUUAUUUAAUCGAAUCCCCCACUGCCCUGUUUUGAUGAAGUGGGUUUCACUUCCAUUAAAAGGGAGUCUUUUAUUUUCUUUUGCUGAGCAUAUCUCUCCUCAGUCGAGCAUUUUGAAUCAUUUCCCCCCCCCCCACAGGUGGGAGUCGAAGAGGAAGCAAAGCAGUGGAGUCGGAUUUUUACGGCACGCCGUUUAAAGGACUGCAUUCAGGUUUCUUCUCCAAAGCUGGCAACCGCUGAAGGCUCCAUCGGUCUACAAAGACUCAAUUCUUUCACCAAUUAUAUCCGGUUUAAUCUGUUUGAAUGCAUAGUCUGUCAUUUUCAUUGUGUUAUCAACAA